GAUUUCAGCUGAAAAAGUCAUCAACAACAAAGUUAUAUAACUCAUCAAGAUCUUUAACUUUUAUUUUGGUCAUUUCUUCAUCCGACAAAGUGAUAGUAACAUGGUUCACAAAAUUUACAUAUCUCUUAUAUGGUUUUUUAAACUAUAAGAGAGAUAUGUAAAUUUUGUAAAAAUGUUACUAUCACUUUGUCGGAUGAAGAAAUGACCAAAAUAAAAGUUAUAGAUCUUGAUGAGUUAUACAACUUUUGUUGUUGAUGACUUUUUCAACUGAAAUU
rnacentral:pre_miRNA from 1 species